ACAGGGAUUGCCCUAGUAACGGCGAGUGAAGCGGCAACAGCUCAAAUUUGAAAUCUGGCGUCUUCGGCGUCCGAGUUGUAAUUUGCAGAGGGCGCUUUGGCAUUGGCAGCGGUCCAAGUUCCUUGGAACAGGACGUCACAGAGGGUGAGAAUCCCGUACGUGGUCGCUAGCCUUUACCGUGUAAAGCCCCUUCGACGAGUCGAGUUGUUUGGGAAUGCAGCUCUAAAUGGGAGGUAAAUUUCUUCUAAAGCUAAAUACUGGCCAGAGACCGAUAGCGCACAAGUAGAGUGAUCGAAAGAUGAAAAGCACUUUGGAAAGAGAGUUAAAAAGCACGUGAAAUUGUUGAAAGGGAAGCGCUUGCAGCCAGACUUGCCUGUAGUUGCUCAUCCGGGUUUCUACCCGGUGCACUCUUCUAUAGGCAGGCCAGCAUCAGUUUGGGCGGUUGGAUAAAGGUCUCUGUCAUGUACCUCUCUUCGGGGAGAACUUAUAGGGGAGACGACAUGCAACCAGCCUGGACUGAGGUCCGCGCAUCUGCUAGGAUGCUGGCGUAAUGGCUGUAAGCGGCCCGUCUUGAAACACGGACCAAGGAGUCUAACAUCUAUGCGAGUGUUUGGGUGUCAAGCCCGAGCGCGUAAUGAAAGUGAACGGAGGUGGGAACCUUUCGGGGUGCACCAUCGACCGAUCCUGAUGUCUUCGGAUGGAUUUGAGUAAGAGCAUAGCUGUUGGGACCCGAAAGAUGGUGAACUAUGCUUGAAUAGGGUGAAGCCAGAGGAAACUCUGGUGGAGGCUCGCAGCGGUUCUGACGUGCAAAUCGAUCGUCAAAUUUGGGCAUAGGGGCGAAAGACUAAUCGAAC
rnacentral:rRNA from 1 species